GAGCCAUUAGCUCAGCCGGCAGAGCAUCUGACUUUUAAUCAGAGGGUCGGAGGUUCGAAUCCUCCAUGGCUCACCA
rnacentral:tRNA from 1 species